rnacentral:rRNA from 1 species
UACGGGGGGAGCAAGCGUUGUUCGGAUUUACUGGGCGUAAAGGGCGCGUAGGCGGUCAGCACAAGUCAGUUGUGAAAUCUCCGAGCUUAACUCGGAAAGGUCAACUGAUACUGUGCGACUAGAGUGCGGAAGGGGCAACUGGAAUUCUUGGUGUAGCGGUGAAAUGCGUAGAUAUCAAGAGGAACACCUGCGGCGAAGGCGGGUUGCUGGGCCGACACUGACGCUGAGGCGCGAAAGUGUGGGGAGCGAACAGG